GACCUUCGGGUUCAUUUUUUAGAUUCACUAACCGGGAUACCGUUAAGUGAUGACUCUGAUUAUCUUGCAGACCGCAUGCUUUUGCAGCGGCGAUUCAUUCUGAUUGACUGUCCUAUCAACUUUCUAGUAGAGUAGCGGUCUACUAGGGUGAUUACGGGUAACGGAGGAUUAGGGUUUGACUCCGGAGAAGAUGCCUUAGAAACGGCAACUACAUCCAAGGAAGGCAGCAGGCGCGUAAAUUACCCACUCUCAGUUCGAGGAGGUAGUGACAACCAAUAACGAGACUCAGACCUUUGGUUUGAGUCAUCGGAAUGGGUCCAAAGUAAACCCGUUAACGAUGAUCAAUGAGAGGGCAAGUCUGGUGCCAGCAGCCGCGGUAAUUCCAGCUCUCAGAGUGUAUAUCUGUCUUGCUGUGGUUAAAAAGCUCGUAGUUGGAUCUGUACCUUGAGAAACAGUUCACCUUUGUGUGUAACUGCUUUCCGAGGUGUAAUUCGUGGGUUUACUCACGAGAGUUACCCUGAUUAAAUCAGAGUGCUCAAAACAAGCGUUUCGCUUGAAUGUUUUUGCAUGGAAUAAUGGAAAAGGACUUCGGUUCCUUACUGUUGGUUUCGGAAUUGAAGUAAUGAUUAACAGGGACCAACGGGGGCAUACGUAUCGUUGCGCGAGAGGUGAAAUUCAUGGACCGCAGCGAGACGUUCAAUAGCGAAAGCAUUUGCCAAGAAUGUCUUCACUAAUCAAGAACGAAAGUCAGAGGUUCGAAGGCGAUUAGAUACCGCC
rnacentral:rRNA from 1 species